rnacentral:rRNA from 1 species
GUGUCAGCAGCCGCGGUAAUACGGGGGGAGCGAACGUUGUUCGGAAUUACUGGGCGUAAAGGGCGUGCAGGCGGCCUUGUAAGUGGGAUGUGAAAUGCCCUGGCUCAACCAGGGAACUGCAUCCCAUACUGUAAGGCUUGAGUAUAGGAGAGGAUGGGGGAAUUCCCGGUGUAGCGGUGAAAUGCAUUGAUAUCGGGAGGAACACCAGUGGCGAAGGCGCCCAUCUGGCCUAAUACUGACGCUCAGGCGCGAAAGCUAGGGGAGCAAACAGGAUUAGAUACCCUGGUAGUCCUAGCCGUAAACGGUGGGCACUAGGUGUAGGAGGCAUCGACCCCUCCUGUGCCGCAGCUAACGCAUUAAGUGCCCCGCCUGGGGAGUACGACCGCAAGGUUGAA